rnacentral:lncRNA from 1 species
AAGCAACCCAGAGCCCUCCUCCCGCCUGCUCUGUGUAGGAGACAGCCUGCGGAGCCCACUGCCGGCGCGCAGAGAGCCCAGCAGCUCUUGAGUCCAGGAAGCAAGGGUGGGAGGAGGGACGAGCCAGUGGCAAUGACCCAGACCCGGACGACCCCCAUUGCUGAGCCAGCGGAGCUGCUUGCAGGCAAGAAGAAUCUGUUGGAUGAUUACAACAUUGCUGGAUUGAUAGCAGCCUCACCUGCCAGGCUCAAACUCCAGGGUCCACGAGGCUGGUGUCAGACCUAUUGGGAGACCCUCUGCGUUAGUGAGAAAAACGGCAAGAAAUGGGAGCACGCGGAAACCUCCAAGACUAGAGCCACCAGAUGCCACCGACAGCACGCAGCUGGACCAGCACGGGGGAGGGCCUUCGUGGGUCGAGAGCUCGCUCGGGAGAUAGUUGGUGCUUUUCUUUCAGGAGAAGAAUCCCUGGCGGAGUCUGACCGUUCUCUGGCGCACAGCCCCGGGGGUGGGCACAGCAGCCGCCCCUGCUGAAGGGACUGACGCCUCCGACGACCAGCAGCCAAGUUAAACGCACUGUUCCGUGAGCAGCUUUGUUGGAGACAGCGCGGUUCACAUUCUCUUCCAACGGAGCCGCUGACUGCGGAGCUGGGAGGGGACGUGACAGAACCCAGCCAUCCAACGUCCCCCCACCCCUCCCCAGCUGGGACCUCCGGCUGCUUCCGGGCUGCGCUGGGUGGCGUCAAGGAGCCGCCCCUCUGGGCCGCGUCCCUCCCUCACGCCCUGCACACUGGCCCUGUGUGGCCGGCGGGGCGCCUAAAAGGGCGGAAGGAUGCAGGGGCGGAGGGGGCUCGGGAUUGCACGCCUAGCUCAGACCCCCCAGCCAGGACCCCUCGCGCUGUUGGACACGCCAGCCUCCCGACCCUGCGGCUCCUACGGGAGGUGACAAGGACCCUGCCAACCUGGCCUGAAUGGCCCAGUUUGAUACAGAUCAGGUUUUCAAUGAAUGAGACCGCGGUGUGGUCUAGGCGGAGGGAUGAGAGGAGGGGAUUCUGCUGGGAUAAGUGGGGGCGGGGUAAGGAGGGGAUUCUUUUCCUGGGCUGAGGAGAACGCAGGGACAAAGUACACAGGGGUAGUUGAGUGAGCAGGUGAGGCCCUAGGCUGGUUCCCCACCUUCUCAGGAUCGGAGCCACUCACUUCCUGGUACUCUCUGCAGUCUCCUGGCGUUAAAUAACAUCCCUUUGCUGGAGACUCUGGAUUCACAUCCAUAAUCGCAGCCUCCCCUACUCAUCCCCUCACGCUUCCCAUGAACUAACCUUGAAGGACCCGACCAGAGCCCUGACCUCCGUCCCACACACCUGCUACAUGGAAGGUGUUCUCCACAUCAGUUCAAGGCAGUGUCACUCUUCAGGAUGUUCAGGCUCUAAACCUUGGACUCCUCCUCCAGAUUUCUCUCUCCUUCCUUCUCCUUGUCUCUCCCUUGCACUUACGGUUCACUUUUCCUUCGUAGCUUUGUAGCUCAUUCCCCCUUCCACUUUCCACACCACCUUCUGGUCUGUUAAUUAAAUAUUACCUGGUUUCCACUGACACCUUCCCUGGGUUCCCAAUUGAAAAUCACAACAUCAUCCUCCUCCUCUGCUUUUUUUCUCCAAAUUAUAUCCUCACCCAAUUAUGUGUUAUUCUCAUUAAUCUUGCUUAAUUAAUUAGCAGACAUUAUUAAUGCCUGUUUCCCCUAUCACCACCACUAGACUAUGAACUCCUAAGGACUCCUUCCUUCCACCACUGUUGUACUCGCUUCACCUAGAACUGCUUGGCACAUACAAUGUGCUCCAUAAAUAUUUGUUGAAUGAAAGACUAGACACAACUUAGGAUUCACUCCCCCAUGUGGCAUCCAUAAGCCCUGUAUGCAGGUAAAAUGUCAGUGGGUUGACUAAAUACUGGAAGUGGAAAAAACUUCACCUCUUUGGUUUGCAGUUGUCUAGGAUAUUUAGGCCAAUGGAAAAUCCAGUUUUCCUUAGAAUUAAGCCAGUGCCGCCAGACUUGCCAGUUUACCAUGCUUGUCUGACUGGUCCUCAGCAUGGGUCAUACGUGUCCAAUGAAUUCAAACAAAAUCUUGAGAAGACACGAACCUUGCCCUUCGGCUGGGCGCGGUGGCUCACGCCUGUAAUCCCAGCACUUUGGGAGGCCGAGGCAGGCGGAUCACGAGGUCAGGAGAUCGAGACCAUCCUGGCUAACAUGGUGAAACCCCGUCUCUACUAAAAAUACAAAAAAUUAGCCGAGCGUGGUGGCGGGCGCCUGUAGUCCCAGCUACUCAGGAGGCUGAGGCAGGAGAAUGGCGUGAACCCGGGAGGCGGAGCUUGCAGUGAGUGAGCCGAGAUCGCACCCCUGCACUCCAGCCUGGGCGACAGAGCGAGACUCCGUAAAAAAACAAAAAAAAAACCUUGCCCUUCAUUCCCCAUUUCUAUCAUAAUCUACACAGAGUUUUGAACAGGCAUUUUAAAAUCAACAAUAUAUUAUUUACAAUUUUGUUAGUAUACAUAACUCUAACUCACUGUUAAAAAUCACCUGUCUUUAUAUCCAUUAAAUGACACUUGCAUAUGCUCCAA